UUUUCAGAGUUUGAUCCUGGCUCAGGACAAACGCUAGCGGUGCGUCUAACGCAUGCAAGUCGAACGGGCGAAGGGGCUUCGGCCCCCUAGCUAGUGGCAGACGGCUGAGUAACACGUAAGCAACCUGCCCCGAAGAGGGGGAUAAUCCGGAGAAAUCCGGCCUAAUACCCCAUGUGCUCUCCUUUUAAUACAGGAAGAGGAAAGGCUUCGGCCACUUUGGGAGGGGCUUGCGUCCCAUCAGGUAGUUGGUAAGGUAAUGGCUUACCAAGCCUAAGACGGGUAACCGGUGUGAGAGCAUGAUCGGUCAGAGGGGGACUGAGACACGGCCCCCACUCCUACGGGAGGCAGCAGCGAGGAAUCUUGCGCAAUGGGCGAAAGCCUGACGCAGCGACACCGCGUGGAGGAAGAAGGCUUUAUUUGUUGUAAACUCCUUUUAUUGGGGAAGAAACUAGACGGUACCCAAUGAAUAAGGGUCGGCUAACUAGGUGCCAGCAGCCGCGGUAAUACCUAGGACCCGAGCGUUGUCCGGAUUUACUGGGCGUAAAGGGCGCGUAGGCGGUUCAUCAAGUCUUGUGUGAAAUCUCUUGGCUUAACUGAGAGGCGCCACGGGAAACUGAUGGACUUGAGGAUAGCAGAGGAAAGCGGAAUUCACGGAGUAGUGGUGAAAUGCGUAAAUACCGUGAGGAACACCAGUGGCGAAGGCGGCUUUCUGGGCUAUUCCUGACGCUAAGGCGCGAAAGCGUGGGUAGCGAACCGGAUUAGAUACCCGGGUAGUCCACGCCCUAAACGAUGGAUACUAAGUAUGGGGGGUAUAGACCCCCUCCGUACUGUAGUUAACGCGAUAAGUAUCCCGCCUGGGGAGUACGGCCGCAAGGCUAAAACUCAAAGGAAUUGACGGGGGCCCGCACAAGCAGCGGAGCGUGUUGUUUAAUUCGAUGAUAAGCGAAGAACCUUACCAGGACUUGACAUGUUUUUGACCGCCUGUGAAAGCAGGUUUUCUCUUCGGAGACAAUUACACAGAUAUUGCAUGGCUGUCGUCAGCUCGUGCCGUGAGGUGUUGGGUUAAGUCCCGCAACGAGCGCAACCCCUGUCGUUAGUUAUAAUUCUCUAGCGAGACAGCCCCCCAACGGGGGAGGAAGGUGGGGAUGAAGUCAAGUCUUCAUGAUUCUUACGUCCUGGGCUACAAACACGCUACAAUGGUUAGUACAAAGGGUUGCUAUUACGCGAGUAUGCGCUAAUCCCAUCAAAGCUAACCUCAGUUGGAAUUGCAGGCUGCAACUCGCCUGCAUGAACGUGGAGUUGCUAGUAACCGUAGGUCAGCACACUACGGUGAAUACGUUCCCGGGCCUUGUACACACCGCCCGUCAAGUCAUGGAAGUUGGCAACACUUGAAGUCGCCGAGCGAACCCUUAUGGGACGCAAGCGCCGAGGGUGGGGCUGAUGACUGGGACUAAGUCGUAACAAGGUAGCUGUACCGGAAGGUGCGGCUGGAUCACCUCCUUU
rnacentral:rRNA from 1 species